GUGGGUAUAGCUCAGUGGUAGAGUUUGAUCAUGAGGUCCUGGGUUCAAUCCCCAGCACCUCCA
rnacentral:tRNA from 1 species